GUAGCCACUCCACACCACCGUGGGGACGUGGUAGUGGGGAUGGGAGAGCAGCAGAAAACGACGAGGCGGGGAAAGGAAGGUAAGGUUGGGGCCGUGGAAGUCAGAGGCGGGUAUCAUCGAUCGGCGAAAGGAGGACGUGGACGGAUCUGGGACAGCCUGGCGAGGCUUUAACGGCCUCCCACCGCACCGACACUGGCCGGUACUGUACUCGACACUACUACUACUCUACCGCCGAGAUCGGCACGCAGAGAUCCACACCACGCCCAUGUCCAUGUCCAGAGCGAGAUCCAUUCCACGGGUGCCAGCCGGACCAACAACCCCACCACCCCACCCGUUUCAGUUACGAGCGAGCCUAGGCAGCUUCGCCGCAGCUUCCUGGGACCGUUUCGUUUUGUUUAUCGCCCAAGCCGGUGCCCUGCACGCCGCGCGGAAUCCAUCCUCUUGCUUUGCGCCCCCAGCCUGUAUCCUUGUUUUUAAU
rnacentral:lncRNA from 1 species